GGAUAUAGACCCGAAACCGGGUGAUCUAGCCAUGGGCAGGUUGAAGGUUGAGUAACAUCAACUGGAGGACCGAACCGACUAAUGUUGAAAAAUUAGCGGAUGACUUGUGGCUAGGGGUGAAAGGCCAAUCAAACUCGGAGAUAGCUGGUUCUCCCCGAAAGCUAUUUAGGUAGCGCCUCGGACGAAUACUACUGGGGGUAGAGCACUGUUAAGGCUAGGGGGUCAUCCCGACUUACCAACCCUUUGCAAACUCCGAAUACCAGUAAGUACUAUCCGGGAGACACACGGCGGGUGCUAACGUCCGUCGUGGAGAGGGAAACAACCCAGACCGCCAGCUAAGGUCCCAAAGUAUUGCUAAGUGGGAAACGAUGUGGGAAGGCUCAGACAGCUAGGAUGUUGGCUUAGAAGCAGCCAUCAUUUAAAGAAAGCGUAAUAGCUCACUAGUCGAGUCGGCCUGCGCGGAAGAUGUAACGGGGCUAAGCAAUACACCGAAGCUGCGGCAAUGUCUUUUAGACAUUGGGUAGGGGAGCGUUCUGUAAGCCGUUGAAGGUGAAUCGUAAGGUUUGCUGGAGGUAUCAGAAGUGCGAAUGCUGACAUGAGUAACGACAAAGGGGGUGAAAAACCUCCUCGCCGGAAGACCAAGGGUUCCUGUCCAACGUUAAUCGGGGCAGGGUGAGUCGACCCCUAAGGUGAGGCCGAAAGGCGUAAUCGAUGGGAAACGGGUUAAUAUUCCCGUACUUCUGACUAUUGCGAUGGGGGGACGGAGAAGGCUAGGUGGGCCAGGCGACGGUUGUCCUGGUUCAAGUGCGUAGGCUUGAGAGUUAGGUAAAUCCGGCUCUCUCUAAGGCUGAGACACGACGUCGAGCUACUACGGUAGUGAAGUCAUUGAUGCCAUGCUUCCAGGAAAAGCCUCUAAGCUUCAGAUAGUCAGGAAUCGUACCCCAAACCGACACAGGUGGUCGGGUAGAGAAUACCAAGGCGCUUGAGAGAACUCGGGUGAAGGAACUAGGCAAAAUGGUACCGUAACUUCGGGAGAAGGUACGCUCUUGAUGGUGAAGUCCCUCGCGGAUGGAGCUGACGAGAGUCGCAGAUACCAGGUGGCUGCAACUGUUUAUUAAAAACACAGCACUGUGCAAAAUCGCAAGAUGACGUAUACGGUGUGACGCCUGCCCGGUGCCGGAAGGUUAAUUGAUGGGGUUAGCGCAAGCGAAGCUCUUGAUCGAAGCCCCGGUAAACGGCGGCCGUAACUAUAACGGUCCUAAGGUAGCGAAAUUCCUUGUCGGGUAAGUUCCGACCUGCACGAAUGGCGUAAUGAUGGCCACGCUGUCUCCACCCGAGACUCAGUGAAAUUGAAAUCGCUGUGAAGAUGCAGUGUACCCGCGGCUAGACGGAAAGACCCCGUGAACCUUUACUACAGCUUGGCACUGAACAUUGAACCUACAUGUGUAGGAUAGGUGGGAGGCUAUGAAGACGUGACGCCAGUUGCGUUGGAGCCGUCCUUGAAAUACCACCCUUGUAUGU
rnacentral:rRNA from 1 species